AUGGAAUAUAGGAGUCGGACGAGCUGGAGCGCAGGAGCUGGACGAGGGUUCAGGGAGCAGGCGGGGCGGGAGGAGCGCGGGGAGGAUCCAGGGAGGAGCUCAAGGAGGAGCCCGGGAGGAGCUGGGGAGGAGCUGGGGAGAAACGCGGGGAGGAGCGCGAGGCGGAGCCCCGGAGGAGGGCGCACCUGGGACGCACGUCGGGGAGGGACGCGCGGAAGGACUGUCCCGGCCGAGCCCUCCCCUCUGCGUGGCCCGCCCCGGCCAGGGCUGGAAGCCGGAAGCAGGCGCAGGAGAACGACUCGGGACUCAGCCGAGGGGAUCCCUGGGGCGCGCCCUCGCUGCGCCCCCAGCCAGGGCGCGAGCCCUCCGCGAAGGGCCGGGGCCAUGGGGGCUCCGCGCCGCUGGGCGCGCGUGUUUCCCGGGCCCCCGCCGGGGCCGUCGCUCCUACUCUUCCUCCUGCUCCUGCGCCCGCCGGGCCUCGGUCUCGCCUCCCUGAGGCUCUUGGACCACCCGGCGCCCGUGUGCUCCCAGGAGGGGCUGAACUGCACAGUCAAGAACAGUACCUGCCUGGACGACAGCUGGAUCCACCCUCGGAACCUCACCCCCUCAUCCCCCAAAAACGUGCAGACCCAGCUGCGCUUCGCCCACACACAGCAAGGACACUUGCUUCCCGUGGUUCACAUCGAGUGGACGCUGCAGACAGAUGCCAGCGUCCUCUACCUGGAGGGGGCGGAGCUGUCCAUCCUGCAGCUGAGCACCAAUGAGCGUCUGUGUGUCAGGUUUGAGUUUCUGACCACACUGAGGCAUCAUCACAAGCGGUGGCGAUUUGCCUUCAGCCACUUUGUGGUAGAACCCAGAGAGGAGUACGAGGUGACCGUCCACCACCUGCCUAAGCCCAUCCCUGACGGGGACCCAAACCACCAAUCCAGAAACUUCCUGGUGCCCGACUGCAAGGACCCCAGGAUGAAGGACACCACGCCAUGCGUGAGCUCAGGCAGCCUGUGGGACCCCAACAUCACCGUGGAGACCCUUGAGGCCCACCAGCUGCGGCUGAGCUUCACCCCAUGGAAUGAGUCCACCAGUUACCAGGUCCUGCUGCACAGCUUCCCGCCUGCAGAGAACCAGAGCUGCUUCCAACAUGUUGUCGACAUGCCCGUGCCCGCACAGGAAGCCGCCCCGCAGCGCUGCCACAUCACGGUCACCCUGCGGGACUCCAGCUGGUGCUGCCGCCACCACGUGCAGAUCCAGCCCUUCUUCAGCAGCUGCCUCAACGACUGCCUCCGACACUCGGUGUCCGUGGCCUGCCCGGAGGUCUCACACACCCCAGACGCCGCUGAAGACCACACGCCUCUGUGGGUGUCUGCGUUCAUCACAGGCCUCUCCAUCCUACUGGUGGGCUCCGUCAUCCUGCUGAUCCUCUGCAUGACCUGGAGGCUACCAGGGUUCCGUCAAGGAAAACAUGAAGAUGGCACCAAAGACACAGAGAUCCUGCCCGCUGCCACCAGCCUGACCCCCCCGCCCCUGAAGCCCAGGAAGGUCUGGAUCGUCUACUCCGCCGACCACCCCCUCUACGUGGACGUGGUCCUCAAGUUCGCCCAAUUUCUGCUCACCGUGUGUGGCACCGAAGUGGCCCUGGACCUGCUGGAGGAGCAGGCCAUCUCAGAGGUAGGGGUCAUGACCUGGGUGGGGCGCCAGAAGCAGGAAGUGGCAGACAGCAACUCCAAGAUCGUCGUCCUGUGCUCCCGAGGCACCCGGGCCAAGUGGCAGGCGAUGCUUGGCUGGGAGGACGCCGCCGCCGUGCAGCUCCGCUGCGACCGCGGGCAGCCGGCGGGGGACCUGUUCACGGCGGCCAUGAACAUGAUCCUGCCGGACUUCAAGAGGCCGGCCUGCUUCGGCACCUACAUCGUCUGCUACUUCAGCGACAUCAGCUGCGAGACGGACGUGCCCGACCUGUUCAACAUCACCUCCCGCUAUGAGCUCAUGGACCGGUUCGAGGAGGUCUACUUCCGCAUCCAGGACCUGGAGAUGUUCGAGCCGGGCCGCAUGCACCGCGUGGGGGCGCUCGCGGCCCAGAACUACCUGCAGAGCCCCAGCGGCCGGCAGCUCUGCGAGGCAGUGCAGCGCUUCCGUCGCUGGCAGGCCGAGCGCCCGGACUGGUUCGAACUGGAGAACCUCCGCUCGAUGGACGGCCUGGACCUCCCGUCCCUGGACGAGGCGGCCUUCGAGGAGGAGCCGCUGCCCGAAGGAAGGAUCGUCCGGCAGGAGCCGCUGAUACGGGAGCCCACCUCCCGGGACCACGUGCUGGUGAAGCUGCUCCUCGCCGGGGAAGGAGGGGGCGGCCUGGCGCGGCUGGAGCCCCAGCCCCGGCCCCCGGGGCAGCCGGCAGCCCCAACGCUCCAGACCAUGGUGGUCCCGGUGGACAGGGUCCCUCGGGCUCAGGUGGUGGAGCCCGUCCCACAGGAGGUGGGGAGCGGCGCGGGCCGGCUGGCCCUGCUGGAGGGAGAAGAGGCCUGCCCGCUGUUGGGGGGCCAGGGUCCCCGGCGGAACAGCGUCCUCUUCCUCCCCGUGGGGCGGCUCCCGCCCCCCAAGCAGAACCCGAGCCUCCAGGACCUGCUCACGCCCCCCGAGGAGGAGCAGCGGCGGUCUGUGCAGUCGGACCAGGGCUACAUCUCCAGGAGCUCCCCGCAGCCCCCCGACGACGACGACGACAACGGAGAGGGGGUCGGGGAGGAGGACGGGGGACAGCCGCUGUCCCCCCAGGGCCUGGAGAGCCUGCGCAGCCUCCAGCUGCUGCUCUUUUUCCAGGAGCUUAGCAAGAACCCCGGCCUUGAGCCCGAGGGGCCGCCAUGCGAGGCCCUCCCCCAGCUGGGGCGGUGA
rnacentral:lncRNA from 1 species